rnacentral:lncRNA from 1 species
GGUAUUUUGACUCUUACACUCCUCUAUCUAUCCCCAAGCUCAAAUAUUGAUGAAAAUUGAAGGAGAAGGAUACCUCCAGAGGCCCGACCCUAUGAGAACUACAUCAGAAAAAAGAGAUAAAAAGAAGUAUUACCAUUUUCAUCGAGACCAUGGUCACGAUAUCGAAGACUACAAACAGCUACAAGAUGAGAUAGAAGUCCU